ACUUCGUGGACAUCGUCUAAUUCUACAACUGCAUGCAGUAGAGCUGCUUAUUAUUCCCACUGAGAGCUGAGGAAACAGUUUGCCCAAGGUCUCUCAGAGGCUUUGAACUCAGGUCUUUCUGAUGUCAGAGCCCAAGCUGCAGAUCGUGACCACAUCUAAGAAUCCAUGAUAAAAUAAUAAUGACUUUCGAUUGUCAUUGAGCAUUCAGUACGCUCCAGGCUUCUAAAGUGCUUUAUGCGUACUAACUACAACAGCUCUGUCAGACAGAUACUAUUACUAUUAACCCAUUUUACAAAGGAGGAAACUAAGUCACAGAGUGGUUAAAGAGCCUGCCCAGGAUCCCAAAAGCCCAGAGAGUCUGGCUCCAUUGGCUGUGUUCUUACCACUCACCAUACUCCGUCUACCUCGUGGAUUCCCACGAUCUACUUUAGGAACCUCCUCCGGCUCUGCUUUUUCUCUUUCCUAGACGACUUACUCCAAAAGAAAACAGCACUCUCCUUAAACCAGCCAACCAAAGCAGAGACAAGAAAUAGAAGACAGCCACCGUUAAAGUAAAAUCAUUUUGAAAAUAUUUGCACAAGAAAUUAUCCUACUAGAUUAUGCUAUCCUCUGUUUAUAGUUACUUUCAGACUUUCAGUUCAGGAAUAAUGUGAAGAAUGUGCCAAUAUAACUAGACAUAUAAAAAAUAUAUACUAUUUUAGCGAGGAAAUGACAACUAGAAUUUGCUUCCUAGUCUGACAGCCUAAAAGUACGUAUGCUAGAGGGUGCUGUUGAAGAAUUUUAGGGUUUUUGUCCAUUUGGUGUUCUCAGAUUUGCACGGGGUAUUGCUAUGGGCUAGGGUGAGCUUAUAAUUUUGAAUUAAAGUCUGUUUAACCUCAGUCUGUUAACUGUUAACCAACACGAUAUUUUACUGCAGAAAAAAUUUUAAAAUAACAUAUUCAUUAUAUGUAGUUAGUUCUUAUUCACGCAGAAGCAUUAAUCACCCGUUACUUUCUUUUCCCCUUGCACAUCCGAGAACUCAAUUAAAAGAUAAUGAAACGUAGGUGUUAAACCCAAAGAAGGCGGCACUGUCUCUAGAGCAUUAUCGAUGGUGUAAAGACUUGUGUCGUGGGGGUAGUUAAUAGAAUCUGUGAGCUGAAGGAAACACAAAAUCAAAUUAGUGGAACCAAAACAUUAGCCAUCAGGAAAUCUUAGUUCUAACUCCCCUGCUCCACAAUUAAGCGAAAUUACCUAAGUACUUGUUAAUAAAUCAGGAGGCAGGAAAUACAUAGGAUUAGAAGGUUAGAAAGUACAGCAGUGCUUAUGCUGAACUGGUACAAUUUUGGCCACGCAAGCUCAGUCUAAAAUAGGAAAGGUGACAUCAUUAAACACAUCAAAGGCCAAAAAACACGCAGAACCAGCUCAAAAGCCGUACAAUUAGGAAUUAAACAUUUGUAUAGAUACAUAUCCUUCUCCGAACAUUCAAUAGUGGUCUAAAAAAUUAUUUGUUCUAGAAUUGUGCCUGGUUCUACACAAUAUAAUUUUAGCAGUAGACAUUGAAUUUUUUUUUGAAUAAAUGAAGGUUAUUUGUCAAUUCCAGCACUUCCAAGUUUGCAGCACUUUAAUACUUGGUUGUUAAAAGGAAAGGAGGAAGAGACAUCUGUGUACGUGGAAAGGCACUGCGUGACGGAUGACAAUUUACGAAGAUAUCACGUUACCUGGAUUAUUCCUCACUGCUUCAUACGUCGCUUCUCCCACUCAGAGUGAAUGACCUGACGUAGGAGGCAUCGCGUUACACACAUUGCUCUGAUAUUUUAUGCAGCUGCUAGAGCAGUGUAGGCAAAAGGAACUCCAUGAACACUUGCUGAUUGAUAAAUCAUACAGACAGAACUGUGAGCUAAUGCCUCUGGAGUUUAUCCAAGUCUGUGGGAGCGUUCCUAUAGUUCGGGGACAGCUAUUACUCUCCAACUGUGGUUUAAAGGUGGAGGUGAACAGCCUAACACCAUCUGGCUAAAAGAACCAUUUCCCUUCUUAAAAAUUACUAAGUCAAAUAUAAUUUUUUCCUUUCAGGUCUCAAGUCCAAGCUAAUUAUCGCUUAUGAUUAGAAGACCCGGCAGCUUUUGGAGUACUGAGGCGAAGUGGUUUUUCUUGCUACACGUGAAACCACAGGGAGCAUUACCAACUAGCAGGGACUCAGCGCUUACCUCUUGCCAGGCAUUGUCUGAAGGUUUUAUGUGUAUUAACUGACUGAACACUCACAACAAUUCUAUAGGGAAAUACUGUUACUAUCAUAGUCGCCAUUUCAGAUGAAGAAACAGAGCUUAAGUACCCGGCCCCAGCUCACACAAAGCAUCUGACUCUAGAUGCCCAACAACCAGAAUGGGCAGCCUGGUAAUCUGGGACUUUCCUCCGCUCAACAUGGGUGGCAGCUGGCAGCCAAAGGACCCUGCAUUGGGGAUGCUCAAGAAGAGUCCUUGCAUCAGGUAGACAGUUUCACUUGACCUUCAACCUUCCAGCUAAAGAUUCCAACAUGUUUUUGUUCACAACCUAAUGGUUUACGUAUAUUUUGACUUUGAAAUUCCUGGCAUAUACAAUGGGUGUUUUAACAACAACAACAACAACAACAAAAUCCUAGCAACUACCCUAGGAAAUAAAGGAAAGAAGGCACAAUUUGUCACCUUGCCAAGAUCAAAUAUUCUGAGAGCCUGAGUGAAAUCAGCAGUCAUCACUCACACAAAUCUGGGCCAUAGAAAUCAUAAGGGUAAUUUACUGAUGGACAUUCAAGAUUGAAUAUUCUGUGACAUACAUACUAAUGGCUUCUCACUGGUGAGUGUUGGGGAGUCGUGAAGAGGUGGCUGAAGAGUAAAACAAAGCUAAGAUGAAAAGUGUAAGCUAAGCUUCCAUCUCAAUGGCUGCUAAUGAGUCAGUGAGAAGAGGGAAGGACAAGGAGACAGGAAACGGGCUGGGAUGAUCCAGUCCUUAGAGAGCCACCACAGCCAGUGGCCUUCUGCUCCUAUCAUUUCUAACACCAAGUGGGGAAAGUAGGACAUACAAUAGAUUUUAUAUAUAGACAUGUGCUGAAUUGAUAUAAAAAACAGGUUUAUCCCAAUGUUCUUUUAGGACAACUGCACACUGGGAAAUUCCCCUGGAAUGCCCCACUUUACCUCUGAAGAGCUGUGCCUAAAUCACAGUGGUGUUAUCUAGAACACAGGGUUCCAGCAGCUACAUUCUGUGGUCAUACUGCCAAGGUAUUGGUGGUGGUUUUUUAUGUUAAAACAAAUUACUUAAAAAAAAGAAAAAAAAAUAUAUAUAUAAAAGCAAAGAGCACCAAAAUCAACCCAAAUACUUCCUGAGUGAAAAUUACAACUUGAGGGGAAUGUUGUUUUAAAUUGGGCUUCUCAGGCUAACUCAACACUGUAAGAACAGUAAGGGAUGGAUUCCUGGCCCCUACAACGAUAUUUGUGAGUCAGGUGGCUAAGGCGCAUCACCGAGAACUCCCAAUUGAUACUGUGUAGAGAACUCCCAAUUGAUACUGUGUAGAGGGCAGCUCACACGCAGGCAAAGAAAUCAGCCAUAAUUCGUAAGUUGAUGGAAUGUUUGCCAAUGAGGAGAAACUCUUUUCUGUUUGAAGCAAGCUAAAAACUGAUUAAAAAAAAAACACAAAGCAACUAGCAUUUUCGGGAACAGAGUGGGAGGGGAAAUGACAUAAAGGUUAGUAAGUCUUGUGAUGCUCGGGGCCACUUUUAUCACAGAGUGACUCAGUUGGACAAAAAAUAGAAAAGGAUUUUCUAAGCCAAGACAGCCUUCCAUUCAUGUUUUCCUUUCUAAAAUUAUAGCCAUCCUCUUUCACAGUAAGGAUCAUGUUUUUACAGUGUGGAGCAUGGCUUCCCCCUAGGCCUGGUCCUCCGGGGCUGGCACUAUGCAGAGAUUCCCUUUCUACGGUUUCUAAGGCUGGUUCUGUUUUCCCUUCCUUCACUCUUCUUCAACACACUGAAUUGUUCCAAAAUAAAACAUAACUUUUUCUAGUUGAAAGCAUUACAUGAAAAAAUAAUGAGCGGUAGUCACAAUGGUAGUGAGGGUGGGAGGUUCCUUCCUUCUCGUUUUGUUUUUAAGUAAACAGGAGUCUGUCUCCUGAUUCCCUUCCAUUGCGCUGGCCCAGCACCUGGCAGAGGCCUCUCGUUCCUCUCCUCUGCCCAGAUCCAGGAGAGGCACCAGCCUUCUUAGGACAAGGCUGCCUUUACCAGCAGAGGCUCUGAGACACUCCACUCUGGAAGCAAGAAGAGGGUUUUGGAUAUGUUUUGUUAACCUGAAAGGAGCACACACAGUGCGAGGCCAUGUGUGUCAAUAGGCACUACAGGUUCCUUUGCUCAGGUUGGGAGACUGGAAUUCUACCACUGCUGCUGGCCUACCCCACGGCUUUACUCAAUUCUCAUCCGCCUUAGCUUAUUUGUCCAAGAAGCCAACUGAAACCCCUGAGAAUACAUACUAUGGUGAACACUGUGAAUGCCUCUCAGCGUGUGUGUCUCUGCUGUGCGUGUGUGCAUGUGUGUUGGGGGGAAUGAGGGAGAGGAGUGAACAAUUACUAAUUAGGAUAACAUUUCUUACAUAUCUUUCUAGAAUACAGUUCAAAACAAAGCAGAAAGGAAGCAGCAGAGCUUUAUCUCCCUCUAGCAGCCGUCCUAGCCUGGGGCUAAAGUGAGUUCACCUCAGGGGUCCAUUGUGUCCAGAUGGCCCGGAGGGCCAGUGGGCUGGUUCACACGUGACAGUUUGCAUGAGGCACCAAGUUACCUCCAGGGAAAUUAUUUUUCCUGCCACAGGCUUGUUACCUAAAUCAGAGGAAUGUCUCAGCAUCGGAGGGGAGCUGGGAUGAAUUUCUCCUCACUCAGAACUUCUGAUUUAGUCAAGCCUCCCACCCCAGCCCACAACAUUCUCUCCCCCUAGUCACCUCCCCUGAUCUAGGAGUCAAAACAGAAAGGCAGGUUUCACCAAAGACCUGAGAAGAAUUUGGGAGCACAGGUAUUGAUGGGGUUCAGGGCAGGCUGCCCCCAAAUGUGACACUUUGGCAUAUCGAUUAUUUUGAAUUAAAGGUACUUAAGAAACAGCCAGUGCCAGCAGGACACUCUGACCCUCCUCUGUCCCCCUGAAAGCAGGAGAGAAAUCUGCCAUAUGGAAGGUACCCUUCCUGUACCAGGAGGUAGAGAGACCUCCUUAUCACCAGAGAGAGAGAAUUUAGAGUGGAGAAGCCUAUAUAAACCAAUCUUGUUACUUCUUCACUAAUUUACUGCUGCAAGCCCAAACCUCUUAGUCUCGUUAAUUCCUCACGAUUUAUUGUUUCUUCAUCUAAAAGGUAUAAAAGCUGCCUGCUUUGGUUACGUCUUUGAGUCUCAUAUUUUUAUGAGCUUCCAUACGCACAAAAUCAAAUUUGUUUCUCUCUGUUAAUCUGUCUUAUGUCAAUUUAAUUAUUAGGCCAACCAAAGAAUCUAGAAGGGAAGAAGGGGAAAGAUUUCCUCCCCUACAGGAGCUCUGGUCCAGGACUCUAAGACAGGAAGGUAACAGGUGUCUUUGCAUGUGGGUGUGGAUGUGCAUGAGAGCGUAUAUUUGUGUGCGUUCCCACAUCACCAGAGAAGGCUCACAGUGCAGUUCCACAGAACAGUGGUCUUCGGUGAGGAUUCUUCCAUAAGGAAAGCAGCAGCAUCUGGCUGUGGACAUCAGUGCCUUCAGCUCAGGCUACAACAUCAGCAGCAGCUAAGAGGGCCCUCUGCCCGGCACUGAUGGCUUCUUAGAUCUAGGGGUCCAGCAGCAGAUCCCACAGGACUAGAGAGCAGGGUGGGUGAGGGGUGGGAGGAAUGGUGGUGACACAUGGUAGUAUUGGGACUCUGUUCAAAGUGACCCAUCAGGUAUCUCCUGGAAUCCCAGGAAUAGCUCAGGAACCUCAAAGUGGAGUGUGUGCAGGGGAUCUGGUCCAACAUGGAGAUAGAGGCAGAGAAAUUCAUUCAUUCAUUUGCUCAUUCAGUCAUUCCACAUAAAUGGAACUGAGGAGUAGCUAUGAACAGGCAUUGUUCUAGGUGCUGAGCAGGGAAAAAAAAAGACAAAAACCCAUGCUCUAAUAGAGCUUUAACGGGGUGAAGGCAUAGGGCAAUAAAAAAUGAGCAAACACAUAAAUAGUAUCAAGUAGGUAGUGAGAAGCAGUAAGAAGAAAUGUGAGUGGGGG